UACGUAGGGUGCAAGCGUUGUCCGGAAUUAUUGGGCGUAAAGAGCUCGUAGGCGGUCUGUCGCGUCUGCUGUGAAAACUCAGGGCUUAACCCUGAGCUUGCAGUGGGUACGGGCAGACUAGAGUGCGGUAGGGGAGACUGGAAUUCCUGGUGCAGCGGUGAAAUGCGCAGAUAUCAGGAGGAACACCGGUGGCGAAGGCGGGUCUCUGGGCAGGGACUGACGCUGAGGAGCGAAAGCGUGGGGAGCGAACAGG
rnacentral:rRNA from 1 species